rnacentral:rRNA from 1 species
UACUGGGGGUUUUCCUUUUGCCACCCUUGACAUCAAAUCUCAGCAGCUCAGCCAGAUUGGGCCUGAUAAAUUUUAGGAUGGGAGAUCUUCUGGGACUAUCAGGUGCCUUAAAGAC